rnacentral:rRNA from 1 species
GGAAUUUUGGGCAAUGGGCGAAAGCCUGACCCAGCAACGCCGCGUGAAGGAUGAAAUCCCUCGGGAUGUAAACUUCGCAAGAACGGGAAGAAUAAGCCGGUGCCAACAACACCGGCGAUGACGGUACCGUUUGUAAGCUCCGGCUAACUCCGUGCCAGCAGCCGCGGUAAUACGGGGGGAGCAAGCGUUGUUCGGAUUUACGGGGCGUAAAGGGUGCGUAGGCGGCCACCGCAAGUCGACUGUGAAAGCUCCGGGCUUAACUCGGAAAGGUCAGCCGAUACUGCGGGGCUAGAGUGCAGAAGGGGCAACUGGAAUUCUCGGUGUAGCGGUGAAAUGCGUAGAUAUCGAGAGGAACACCUGCGGCGAAGGCGGGUUGCUGGGCUGACACUGACGCUGAGGAACGAAAGCCAGGGGAGCGA